rnacentral:rRNA from 3 species
CAAUCAAACCGGGAGAUAGCUGGUUCUCCCCGAAAGCUAUUUAGGUAGCGCCUCGUGAAUUCAUCUCCGGGGGUAGAGCACUGUUUCGGCUAGGGGGCCAUCCCGGCUUACCAACCCGAUGCAAACUGCGAAUACCGGAGAAUGUUAUCACGGGAGACACACGGCGGGUGCUAACGUCCGUCGUGAAGAGGGAAACAACCCAGACCGCCAGCUAAGGUCCCAAAGUCAUGGUUAAGUGGGAAACGAUGUGGGAAGGCCCAGACAGCCAGGAUGUUGGCUUAGAAGCAGCCAUCAUUUAAAGAAAGCGUAAUAGCUCACUGGUCGAGUCGGCCUGCGCGGAAGAUGUAACGGGGCUAAACCAUGCACCGAAGCUGCGGCAGCGAACGUAUCACCCAAGACAACUUUACGGAGUUGACGAUUGACGGAGCGAAGCGACGUCAAAGCGUUCAUUAAAGUCGAGUUGGCUUAGGGAUACGUUCGUUGGGUAGGGGAGCGUUCUGUAAGCCUGUGAAGGUGUGUCGUGAGGCAUGCUGGAGGUAUCAGAAGUGCGAAUGCUGACAUAAGUAACGAUAAAGCGGGUGAAAAGCCCGCUCGCCGGAAGACCAAGGGUUCCUGUCCAACGUUAAUCGGGGCAGGGUGAGUCGACCCCUAAGGCGAGGCCGAAAGGCGUAGUCGAUGGGAAACGGGUUAAUAUUCCCGUACUUGGUGUUACUGCGAAGGGGGGACGGAGAAGGCUAUGUUGGCCGGGCGACGGUUGUCCCGGUUUAAGCGUGUAGGUGUGUGUUCCAGGUAAAUCCGGUUCACUUUAACACUGAGGCGUGACGACGAGGCACUACGGUGCUGAAGCAAC